rnacentral:rRNA from 1 species
AUUGAACGCUGGCGGCAGGCCUAACACAUGCAAGUCGAGCGGAUGAAGGGAGCUUGCUCCUGGAUUCAGCGGCGGACGGGUGAGUAAUGCCUAGGAAUCUGCCUGGUAGUGGGGGAUAACGUCCGGAAACGGGCGCUAAUACCGCAUACGCCCUGAGGGAGAAAGUGGGGGAUCUUCGGACCUCACGCUAUCAGAUGAGCCUAGGUCGGAUUAGCUAGUUGGUGGGGUAAAGGCCUACCAAGGCGACGAUCCGUAACUGGUCUGAGAGGAUGAUCAGUCACACUGGAACUGAGAAACGGUCCAGACUCCUACGGGAGGCAGCAGUGGGGAAUAUUGGACAAUGGGCGAAAGCCUGAUCCAGCCAUGCCGCGUGUGUGAAGAAGGUCUUCAGAUUGUAAAGCACUUUAAGUUGGGAGGAAGGGCAGUAAGUUAAUACCUUGCUGUUUUGACGUUACCAACAGAAUAAGCACCGGCUAACUUCGUG